AUUGAACGCUGGCGGCAGGCCUAACACAUGCAAGUCGAGCGAGCGGCGGACGGGUGAGUAAUGUCUGGGAAACUGCCUGAUGGAGGGGGAUAACUACUGGAAACGGUAGCUAAUAACGCAUACCAUCAGAUGUGCCCAGAUGGGAUUAGCUAGUAGGUGGGGUAACGGCUCACCUAGGCGACGAUCCCUAGCUGGUCUGAGAGGAUGACCAGCCACACUGUAAGUGUGACACGGUCCAGACGCCUACGAGAUGCAGCAGUGGGGAAUAUUGUGCAAUGGGCGCAAUCCUGGUGCAGCCAGGCCGCGUGUGUGAAGAAGACCUGCGGGUUGUAAAGCACUUUCAGCGAGGAGGCGUUACCCACAGAGGAAGCACCGGCUAACUCCGUGCCAGCAGCCGCGGUAGUAC
rnacentral:rRNA from 1 species